ensembl:misc_RNA Y_RNA Y RNA
UGCUGGUCUGAGUGCAGUGGUGUUUACAACUAAUUGAUCGUAAUCAGUUACAGAUUCCUUUGUUUCUUCUUCACUCCUACUGCUUCAAUUGACUAGCCUUAA